AUUGAACGCUGGCGGCAGGCCUAACACAUGCAAGUCGAACGCGUGGCAGGCGGGUGAGUAAUCUCGGGGAACCUGCCUGGUAGAGGGGGAUAACUUCUGAAAAGGAUCGCUAACCCCGCAUAAUCUCAUAUGACCCCAUAUGGGUUGAGCUUGUAGGUGGGGUAAAGGCUCACCUAGGCGACGAUCCAUAGCUGGUCUGAGAGGGUGACCAGCCACACUGGAACUGAGACACGGUCCAGACGCCUCCGGGAGGCAGAAGUGGGGAAUAUUGCACAAUGGGCGCAAGCCUGAUGCAGCCAUGCCGCGUGUAUGAAGAAGGCCUUCGGGUUGUAAAGUACUUUCAGCGGGGAGGCGUUACCCGCAGAAGAAGCACCGGCUAACUCCGUGCCAGCCGCCGCGGUAAUUC
rnacentral:rRNA from 1 species